GAAGGUGAAUAAAUGGUGACAGAAUUUUCAUUCUUGGCUGAACUGUCCCUUUAAUUGCAGACGUCUCUGUCUUUCUUGUUUGAUCAUCUCUCUUCCUCGUCUCAUUUUACAGAUAUGUCAACAGGGUCUCCCUCAAAGGGAUUCUGAUUCCAGGAGAAACGGGAAAGCAGGUGAUGUGCUGUAAUAUCUCUCCGUCGUCACUGUUCCCGACAAGCAUUUGGCUCUGUGUAUUGGAAGCUUGAUCAUCAAAGCGUAAAGUUUCAUCCUGGACACGAGUCCACCUCCUUCUGACGGUCAUGCCGUCUCUUUGCUUUGAUUUAUCCUUUAUGAAUUUAGUUAGCAAGUAUCAAUUUUACUGUUGCUGAAACAGUGUUAUUGAUUCUCAUAAUUCUGAUGUUUUGUGUUUCUGUUUGCUAAUAUUAUUUAAAGGGAUAAUUCAUCAUUUACUCACCCUCAGAUUGUUCCAAACCUGUAUACAUCAUUCCAGAAGAUAUCUGGUCCUAUCCUAUAAAUACUAUCCCCAUAGUAUUUAUUUUCCCUACUAUGGCAGUAAAUGGUGGGUGAGAUCUGACAUUCUUCCAAAUUUCUUCCUGUGGGUUGAGCAGAACAAAAAAAUGUAUACAGGUUUGGAACAAUCUGAGGGUGAGUAAAUGAUUGUAGAAUUUUCAUUUUUGGUGAAGUGUCCCUUUAAAGCAUCAUACAGUGAAGUUAUCUUGAUGCUAAAAUAAGCCUGGUGUUUUCAGUACGUCUGACCCAGGAUCAGUUUACAGAAUCAAUAUUAAGUUCAGGAGUUAUUCAUUAAAAGCAGCGCAGCUUCACAAACAUAAAUGGGGUAAAUAAACUCUCAGAUGGUUUGAGAUGAGCAGGACGGAUGUAAAGGUCUCUGUGUGCUCCUAUACUGCAGCUGGGAGCUGUGGAAAGGCACCGCCGGCAUCACAGGUCCGGGGUCAGUGAUCCGCACUGACCUCCAGCCCGCUCCUAAUGGAAAUCUAGCCGAGCAUCACAGGCAAUCUGAGUCCUCACACCAGUUCUUUCUAAUAUGGCCCUGGAGAAGCCGACUGCCUCCAAAUGUGUUUCUUGCCCUGCGUUCAACCUCAGCAACAGCUCACACGCUCGUUCUUUAUGCUCAAAGACCCACAAGAGAAUCCAAUAACCGCAGGAUCAAGAGUCAAUGGGUGAUGUAGACAUCCGUGACACCUCAUUCACCCUCUGUGAUGCUGUGGCCUGCACCAUCCGUCUCACAACAGAAAAAAACACACGUCUAUGAAACGUCUGGAAAACAUCUGCUGGGAUUCUGGGAAGUACACAGGGAUGCAAUGAAAGAUGCUCCGUGCAGACCCUUUGUCAUCUGUCUUGCACGUCUCAACCCUGAUCUCCCGUCUUGUGUGUUUCUUUGCUUCGUCUCGACACUUCCAUUAGACACAGAAGAGAGCUUGUAGAUGAAGUUUCGUGCUGAAACUCUUCACAGAUGGAGGAGAUGCGUUUAGGGUCGCCGUGCAGGAAGUGCUUAUGUGAAUGAUGUUACGGCCCUCCUGGUAUAUUGCCAGUGUCGUUUUAAUAGUCGAUUCACCAAAGGAAUCAUGAAAAUCAACCAAACACAGACUAAAAAUCAUGAACACUGUAUACAGGUUUUCAACCAGAUGAGAGUGAAUAAAUCAUGACAGAUUCUUUUUUGGUGAGUGAUUAUGCCCAAAUAAAAGCUUCUGAAGAUCGACCUGUGUACUUCCCAUGGAUUAGUUUAGUAAUGACUUGAGGAAUUUUAUUUUGAUAUAAUAAUGAUGAAAUUGUCCUACCUGAUAAUUAUGAAAAAAAGAUCUUCCUAAGAAAUUGCGCACUUGUU